rnacentral:rRNA from 1 species
CACUAAUCCCCCCAGGGGAACCUGGCCCUUAAUUCGAUGAUCCACGAACCUCUUACCUUUUCUAGUUUUGCUUAUCUUUGCAAGAAGUAAACAAAGAUCAGCUCGCAUACCGCCGUUUCGUAGCUUGUAUCGUGAGAGGACAUAAACAGGCGCCCUAGUGGCCCGUAUAAAAAUAAAUAAGGGUUUCUCUAAUAAUUCAGGUAAACGUGUGCGGCCUAUGGAAAGGGGGUGCUGGGUUACAAUUGGGGUUUAUAAUGGCGUGGCUGCCUUAAGGGCAAGACAAAAGAGGACUUGGAAGUAAUAGCCUUGGACAAUGAGGCUGUGAAUACUGCUCUAGUGUGUGUACAAAUCGCCCGUCACUCUCUG